UGAAAUAUUUGUAUUACACCACACUAACACGUAGUAGAGGAGAUACUUACAUGUGUAUAUAGACAUGUUGCGUGUUAGAAAGGCUCUUAUCAUUUACAAAUCACGCCUAUGUUGAAUAAAUGGGUUUUGCUUUUAAAUAGAUUUUAUUUAAUUGCAGAUCUGCUUUCCGAGGGUCUUUGAAGAGCACUUGGAAGUGGCCAAAUCUCGGUUGAAUGACGGCAAAUGCGACAGAAAACUCUAACAGGGGGCAAGAUCAUGGUCUGCGGUCCUUGAUAGCUUCAAUCCCUGAGAAAGACGCUGUUGAAGUUGCUGCUAAUUUUGUUUAUAAAAAAUAAAACUUAAAUUCCCAGAAACUUCUGGAAAAUAAUCAAUUUCAAGGUUAACAAGACUGCAUAUGCGCCUCGACCUUCUGCUGCAAAUACUUCAUCGGAUUCCAAAGCUUCUAGCGUUUACUCUAAAGCGAGCGGGAGCAGAGAGAUAUAAAGCCUCACUUGCAGCACAUAGACAUCUAGGGUUUCGUCUUUGCGUGUAUACAGUUUAAAUCUCAUUCCGGAAACGAUCUCUUUAAUAUCCACGCCAAAUAUGGCGUUGGCAUUUGACGAAUUCGGAAGACCAUUUAUAAAAUUGACGGAGCAGGAACAGAAGACCCGAGUGAAGGGGCUCGAUGCGCAAGGCUAACAUUGCAGCCGCGAGGGCUGUUGCGAGGAUCCUUCGCACCUCCCUCGGUCCCAAGGGCAUGGAUAAGAUGCUUACCAGCGCCGACGGCGAUGUCACCAUCUGAAAAUAAACGAUCAGUUGCAGAAGAGUUGAAACACACAAUGCUAAUGAGUACGGGAGAAUGCUCAUGACUACUCCAGAUUGUUCGAAAGUUAAAAAUUAAAUGAACUCUGCCAAAUUCCUUCAAUGGCAUUUAAUGUACAAAGAUUUUUUACAGAUUUUCGAUUAGAUGUUUUGCAACAACCCAGAUUUCCAGCUCGCCUUACAGCUCGGCUUUAAUUAUUACAAUAUGUCUAAAGUUUUUUCCCUGUUACGGUGGUGCUGCGAAGAACAUGAACUUUGAAAGAGCAGGGCUGGCACAGCGCACCUGAGAGGCAGGUUACUUUACCAAUUUACCUUAUGAAGAAACUCAGUCUAGCUGAUGGAAUGAAUUGCUUACAUUCUGGGUUGAGUCUUACUCCGUUUUAUUUUACGGUUUCUUUUACCUUCUGAAGAAUAUUUUCCUAACUGCCAUUAUCUUUCGAAAAAUUGGUCAGCUGUUGCAUUGGAUUGCAUACAUCUUGGUUUUUUGUCACAUUAAUUAUUGUAAUAUAGAGUAUGUAUGCUUGUGUACUCUGGAUCAUUGGAUCGAAUGCCCCUGCUUUUCAUGAUGUCUGCAGCUGCAUUCUCCAUCUUUUCUGGAACUUUGAUGUCGACACCUUUAAAGCAAAGUGCAUGGCCUGAUUUGUGUCACUUCGUUUUAGAUUUAAGUUCUCUAUGACCGGUUUGGUGUAUGUGUGUACUCUCUUUUCCCUUGAGCAGAGGAUUAGAUGGAUUGAUAUGCCAUUCAAGUUAACCGGAUGGGUGUUAUGGUCUUAUAAACUUUAUGGGUUUGUAAUAAAAAUAAAUUUCAAAAAGCUUGGCAGAUUAUGAAGUA